rnacentral:lncRNA from 1 species
CUUUGGAGUACAGUGGGAUCAUGGAACUAAAAGGGUUGAGAGGUUGUUUCAGGAAAUAAGGACAGUUUGGGGGGAGGAGAGUGACACACUGACGAUGUGGAGAUCAGCUCUGCACAUCUAGUGAUUAUAGAUCAGCGGGAUGAGCCCAGGUGUCUGGUGAGGAGCCAGGAAGCCUGGGAAGUCCACAUUUCUCCCCCUUGUCCAUGCUCUGCAGUCCCACAUCAGCAUUUCAGAUCUUUGUAAAACAUCACUCAUCAGCUUUUAAAGGCAGCCUUCCGAGUACGGACAGAACUGUUGCAAGCAUUUGCUUUUAUUCCUCCGUCUCCUCAUCGGCCACACAUGCUUCAUUCUCCGUCCGGGGAGGCAGUUCGGAAGAGGGGACUCUGGACCCAGGAGGGAGGAGAACCACCGCUCUCAGGAAGUCGCUGGGUCCUAUCAAGUUGUUCAGGGCCCCUCGCCUGGCCCAGACCUCAAAGAGCCUGCAUCGAGCCUGUGCUCUUUUCUUUUUUCCCUCCUUUCUUCAUCUUCACACUGCCUAUUUGCUUGCAUCCUUAUCUCAAGGAAUUUCUGCCCACUUUUAUGCUGCUGAAUUUAUGUUUUAGACCCUCCUUUCGUCUGCUCCUCAAAUCGCCAUCAGCCCUAUCCUGAUGCCUUCCAAGCUCCACCUUGACAAAACCUGCAUUGUUUUAGUGAAGAGUAUAUAUUUAAAUUUUGGGGUGGCUUAUAACGAAAAAGACCUUAGAAUGUUUGGGUCUGUCCAAACAGAGCGGUUCAGUUAAGACUGGACUGACUAGGGGCUGACCCGGGUGGCUCAGUCGAUUGAGCCACUGACUUUUGGUUUUGACUAGGUUUCAGCUCAGGUCAUGAUCUCAGGGGACUUAGGAUCAAGCCCUGCUUUGGCCUCUGCACUCAGUGGGGAGUCUGCUUGAAGAUUCUCUGCCUCUGCCCCUCAGCCUGUUCAUGUUCUCUCUCUCUCUCUCUCUCUCUCUCUCUCCUCAAAUAAAUAAAUAAACAAACAAAUAAUUCUAUCUUUU